rnacentral:rRNA from 1 species
GACGGAGGGUGCAAACGUUGUUCGGAAUCACUGGGCAUAAAGCGCACGUAGGCGGUCCGCUAAGUCAGUUGUGAAAUCCCUCGGCUCAACCGAGGAACUGCAACUGAUACUGGCGGGCUCGAGGACGGUAGGGGUGAGUGGAACUCCAGGUGGAGCGGUGAAAUGCGUAGAUAUCUGGAGGAACACCGGUGGCGAAGGCGGCUCACUGGACCGUGUCUGACGCUGAGGUGCGAAAGCUAGGGUAGCAAACGGG